UGUCUGGCCUAUUUUAAGGGGGAGAGAGACAUGCUGUUCUGAGGCACAGCAGAUCUACCCCAAAGUGGUAGCCUCUCCGUUCCUAGGAACAUGAUAGCU
rnacentral:snoRNA from 1 species